GUUUCUGUAGUGUAGUGGUUAUCACGUUCGCCUAACAGUGCGAAAGGUCCCCGGUUCGAAACCGGGCAGAAACA